UACGGAGGGAGCUAGCGUUGUUCGGAAUUACUGGGCGUAAAGCGCACGUAGGCGGCUAUUCAAGUCAGAGGUGAAAGCCCAGGGCUCAACCUUGGAACUGCCUUUGAAACUAGAUAGCUAGAAUCCUGGAGAGGCGAGUGGAAUUCCGAGUGUAGAGGUGAAAUUCGUAGAUAUUCGGAAGAACACCAGUGGCGAAGGCGACUCGCUGGACAGGUAUUGACGCUGAGGUGCGAAAGCGUGGGGAGCAAACAGG
rnacentral:rRNA from 1 species